rnacentral:lncRNA from 1 species
GGUUAGCUUUCUUUUCAAGAAUGUAUUUCCAUACUUCUUUUGGGUUUCUAGAAAAGAAGGUACAUUUCCUGGAUUUGAGCUUUAGCCACAGAGAGUAUCUGGGACCAGAAACACAGGAUCUCUAUUAAAAGAACACGAAACGUCACUUCCACACGACCUGCAAUUUCUAGAAUGGAGAGAAAGCUUCAGUAAACAUUCAGUAAUAGCAUGCAACAAAGGUGGGAGAUAUGAAGUUAUGAAGAGAUAGUUACUGGAUCAAAAUAGAAGAAAUGAUGCCUGGCAGCUAGAAAAAAAUAUUCAUGUGCAUUGAUUACACAAUAAACAAGUAAAUACGUGGGAAAACUGAGGCUGAGAUAAAGUAAUGACUUAAUGGCACAGUAAGAGACCAAGUUACGAUUUCAACCCAGAAAUACUUGAUUCCAAAGCCCCAACUCUACUGCAUGAUAUACUAAGCACUAUUAUAUCUCUACUUCUGAGUAGAAUGCUCCAAGAUUUUGCUGGGACAGGAAGGGUAUAAAUAGUACAUACAUACAUACACUUCCAUAUUAUUUUGGUGACAAUAAAAUUACGUCAUAAAAAUGUA